rnacentral:rRNA from 1 species
UGGGGAAUAUUGCACAAUGGGCGCAAGCCUGAUGCAGCAACGCCGCGUGAGGGAUGACGGCCUUCGGGUUGUAAACCUCUUUUAGCAGGGAAGAAGCGAAAGUGACGGUACCUGCAGAAAAAGCGCCGGCUAACUACGUGCCAGCAGCCGCGGUAAUACGUAGGGCGCAAGCGUUAUCCGGAAUUAUUGGGCGUAAAGAGCUCGUAGGCGGGUUGUCGCGUCUGCUGUGAAAUCCCGAGGCGCAACCUCUGGUCUGCAGUGGGUACGGGCAGACUAGAGUGCAGUAGGGGAGAUUGGAAUUCCUGGUGUAGCGGUGGAAUGCGCAGAUAUCAGGAGGAACACCGAUGGCGAAGGCAGAUCUCUGGGCCGUAACGGACGCUGAGGAGCGAAAGGGUGGGGAGCAAACA